rnacentral:rRNA from 1 species
UACAGAGGUCUCAAGCGUUGUUCGGAUUCAUUGGGCGUAAAGGGUGCGUAGGCGGCGCGGUAAGUCGGGUGUGAAAUCUUGGAGCUUAACUCCGAAACUGCAUUCGAUACUGCCGUGCUUGAGGACUGGAGAGGAGACUGGAAUUUACGGUGUAGCGGUGAAAUGCGUAGAUAUCGUAAGGAAGACCAGUGGCGAAGGCGGGGUCUCUGGACAGUUCCUGACGCUGAGGCACGAAGGCCAGGGGAGCAAACAGG